AUGUGCCUUGUCAGCCCGGGCCUGAGCUUCCGCUCUAUCGACUCUCCUACCCGCAACAGAGCGAUCUUUGCCCCCUGGCUUUGUGGGACGCAUUCGAGCCACCUUACGUUUCUUCUUCAACUUCCACCCCAAAUUACUCUCCAACCCCUUUCCCUUCCUCUUCUUCCUUCCCCAUUCUCCUUUCGCUACGCGAAGAAGAAUGGGGUUGUGUAUGUAAAGGAUUAA